rfam:Bacteroides sp. CAG:633 genomic scaffold, scf312
UGCGCUAUGGUGUAAUGGCUGCACAACAGAUUUUGGUUCUGUUGGUCAUGGUUCGAGUCCAUGUAGCGCAA